UCGUGCAUGAGGAGUUGUCUUACACGC
rnacentral:sRNA from 1 species